rnacentral:lncRNA from 1 species
GUUAUAUGACAUGAAAUUAGUAUCGCUAGAUUGGUUAUCAAAAGUACUCAUGAUAUUUGUGGUUUCAUGUCAUAGAUACCAAAUUUUAACAUCGUAAAUUGUGGUCAAAACGUUGUCUUAUUGAAAUCUAAUAUGGCAUUUUUAAGAAAUAGAUGAAGUAGCAAAAAACGUAGGAAAGAGUUCUAUAAAUAUCUCAUUUCUAUUCUUGAAGCUUUCGUCAACAGUAAGC